rnacentral:rRNA from 1 species
UACGGAGGGUGCAAGCGUUAUCCGGAUUUACUGGGUUUAAAGGGUGCGCAGGCGGAUAUGUAAGUCAGUGGUGAAAUCUCUAGGCUUAACCUGGAAAUUGCCGUUGAUACUAUAUAUCUUGAAUGCUGUGGUGGUAAGCGGAAUAUGUCAUGUAGCGGUGAAAUGCUUAGAUAUGACAUAGAACACCUAUUGCGAAGGCAGCUUACUACGCAGAUAUUGACGCUCAUGCACGAAAGCGUGGGGAUCAAACAGG